ensembl:lncRNA
GAUAAAAAGCUGAUGUCAUAAAACCAAGAGACUUUUAGAACUGAGAAGGCUCUUUCAUAUUCCACUUCCUGCAGCAUUCAUCUGGGUGAUUUUGAGCUUCCACUCUGUAUGAAACAUCACACUGGGAGCAGAUAGACAGACUGAGAUGAGCAGUAAGACAUGGCCUCUGCCCCCAGGGCUCACAGACUACUAGCAAGACUGAGAAAGGCACACAAAUAACUGUCCCACAUGGCAGAAUAGGGUAAGUGCCAAGACAAAGGCACCCAAAGCAAAUAGGGGACUAUUUGAAAAAUAUAUAUAUAUUGACCAUAAAAUGUGUCAUGGAAAAGAGAGGAUCUGGCAAGGUUCUUUGGAGACAACAUUUCAACAAGCAAAAAUAAAUGGAAGGGAAGUGGCUGGAUCCCAGGAUGGGAGCCCCCUGCAUGAGCAGUAAACUGCAGGUCAUGUGGACAAAACAUCAGGAAGUGAAACUUCAUUGGAGGGUAGGAAACAAAUGAUCUUGGAAAGUAAAGCUUGAUCUUGAAGAGUUUAUUUUUAGGGUAUGGACUUGGGGUGGGGCAUGAAGGUUUUUGAUCAGAUGUAGGAAGAUCAAAAUUGCCUUCUAUAAAGAUUAACCUGGAAAUAUAUGGAAAGACUAACCUGAUAUAUGGAAUAUAUGGAAAUUUAGUAAGAUGUCCUGUGUAUCUGUUGGGAUACUUGGUCUGCAAGCAACGGGAAACCCAACUCAACAGAGCUUGAUCAACAAGGAAAUUUAUUGUCUUAUUUAAAAGAUGCCUCAGCAUCAGCUUUCUGUCCCACUGCUCCCCUACUCUCAGGACGUGAGGGUUGUACUCAGCAUAGCUCACUUGAGAAAGAGGUUGCUACAGUUUCCGAGUCACUCAGUCAUAACCAGGAGCAUCCAGAGGGAGAAGAGACAAUGCCUUCCUGCCAUCCUUCUCAGGGGAGGAGGGAAUUACGCCCAGAAAUCUUCACCUUUCAUCUCACUGGCCAGAGUUGAGUCACAUGUCCUGGCCUAAACCAAUCACUGAUAAGGAGAAUGGCCAUGUCAGGAUUCAGCCAAUCACUGAACACCCUGAAGAAUGGGGAGAUUAGGCUUCGCAGUCAAGUAAGAAGUCUGCAAAUAUGGAAGAGAGGAAUGGAUGCUGGGGAGACAAUGACUAGGGCCUAACCUGUGUUCCAUAAGGAAGGAAUCUGAAGUGAAAAGGCCAUCCCAGCUAAGAAAUAAUCACCGCUUCAACAGGUUGCAUGGGGAACUGCUCUUCUCUUGUGUAACACAGGAUCCCUCGUUUCAUCGUAUUUUCUGCUUGAUUAUCUUUAAUGAUGGAGAACUCUCAGCCCCCUGGAACUACCACAUUCAAUUAGUUAAAAGUCACUGGUGUAGGACAGAAACCCUCAUUCUUUAUUCACAGAAACCGUUUCCAAACCAAGAAUUCCCCAUAUUGUAUUUAUGCAAUUGAGGUGUUUUUUUUUAAUCUUUAAUAUUCUUUAAUUUUGUUAUCUUAAAUGUUGUUUUGUUGGUUCCAGUGCAAUAAUCCAGCCUGACCUUCCAACAAUUGUUGGUUAACUCUCUGUGGUAUGCAAGUAUUGUUCUAAGCAUUAAGAGGAGACAGGAAGAAGGUGUCAUUUAUAAAAAGGAGUCUAAAGGAUCCCCUUACAAAGGAGAAUGGAUGGACUUAUGAAGGACUCCUGUGUGGCUGAGCUUGGCUCUCAGAACUUCCUUUAUCAUCAGUCAGUUGUUUGGACCGGUGGGAAGAUAGAGCCUUGAGAAGCUGCUCCAGAACUAAACAGGUCCAACUUCAGUGUCCUACCUUUCCAAAGGGAGACAGAAGUGGAUGGUUCAGGAGGUCAGAUGCCCCCAGAAGAAGAAUGAAAAAGUGGCCUGCCUGACCUGGCGUGGCCGGAGAUGGCCUUGCCAUUCAGAUAGAAGGCCACGCCAGCCUCCCCAUCUGCAAGCGCAGAGGCUUGCCAGCUCAUCUUUCCUUUUGCUGCUGUUUAGUCCCUAAGUCGUGCCCGACUCUUUUGUGACCCUAUGGACUGUAGCCCGCCAGGCUCCUUUGUCCAUGGAAUUCUCUGGGCAAGAACACUGGAAUGGGUUGCUGUUUCCUUCUCCAGGGGAUCUUCCCAACCCAGGAACUGAACCCGCGUCUCCUGUGUUGGCAGGCGUAUUCCUUACCACUGAACCACAGGGGAAGCCCAAAUUUUUCCUUUAGUUCUGACCUAAUUAAUGUAUGGUUUGUGUCCUUAGGUCCAUAGUCAAU